UUGGGCUCUCCUCUGUUAAUGCAAUUAGCUUAGCUGCCGUCAAACGCCAUGUGGGUGAGCUAGAAGCCGAAAUCCCAGACAUCAGGGCUCAGAUACACAGACAGCAGACACAACUGCAGACUAUUGGCCAAACAGUCAAGGGCACCGUUCUGGUGGUUAACACCCACACAGAAGUCCUGAAUAAGACGCUGCGUGCUGUAAAUUCUUUGUUGUCGGUGGUCCAGGUCGACUAUGCUCACACAAUGCUAUUGAAUAUGCUCAUGUCAGACAUGUUGCAAGAAAUUAUCAUCCUCAAUAGACAGCUUGGCUGCAGGCCGGAUUCCUCCGUACUUGGUACCUCUCUCAUUGGUUCAGGAUUUACUAUCAACUGCAACCAGAGAGGCCACCACUCCUUUACAAGCCCACCUCGCGUAUACCCUAGGUAGCGCUGUGCCGAUCUACGUUAAUCCCAAAGAUCGAGAAAUUGCUUUCCUUAUUAACUUGCCAAUUAUAGCACCAGGAAGCAUCUAUAGGCUAAAGGAUGUAGUCAAUGUCGGGUUUUGGAAAGAGGACACACACCUCCAAAUUCAGACCCCACCAGUGGUCGCUUACCACGACAGCAAUCCUGACCUAUAUCUAGCUCCUAACCUGCGUAUGUGCACACGAACCAAAGACAUACAUUACCUCUGCCCCAGUAAACCAUUUGUGUGGGACAGUACUAAUGGCCUCUGCGGCCUUACGCCCAUGGUGGCCGACACCAAAUGCCCUACUACAGCAAGACACCGCUCACAAGUGACUGUAACGUAGGCCGAAAGAGUGGGUCACCGUUGGUUAGUUAACACCCCCACCAAAGCUGCCAUUGUAAAUUACGACCAGCACGAUACUGCCACACGCAUUUCUCUACUGGAUCAGACCAUGUGGAUUGAGGUGCCACCAAAUGCCAUUCUCCAUAUAGAUGACAUUGCCCUCUAUUACCUCAAACCUGAGCAAUUCGAAACAGAGAUUGAAGUGCCAGCGUUUUUCAGCAAGCAUACGCAGCAGUUAGAUCCAAACACUAUUUCCCAAAUCCAAUAUGCAGGUACUCAGAUCAUUGACCUAACGCCUGUAGAUGACGUCCUUAUAGACAUAAGGUCCCAAGAGAAGUCCCCGCUGCAACCCAUAGUCUAUGUUUGGUCCACCCCAGACACCUUACUAGCAGCCGCCAUAGUGUUAGGGUAUCUCCUGACCUUCGGGUUAACCUUCAUCUACGUCAAACGUGGUAAAGCCCUACAGUACAAAAUAGACCAGUGUGUAACUAGGUUACGACUCCGUAGACAACCGGAAACGGAACAGGGAGUUGAACAGCCAGAGGAAGACCUGGGGCCUCAUGUAUCAACGCUUGCGGCGCAAGAAAACCUUGCGUACGCCAAAAUCGGCGCACACGUCCAGAUUUAUCAUCGCGAAACGAGCGUCGGUUCCAGCGCUAAUCAACGCAAAGUCAGGAGGUGGUGUAGAAAUUGGCGUUGAGCUGGAUAUUUGCGUUGACUGUGAUUCGCACUUUGGCGACGCUGUGUGGCGGUGUUUGGUGACUCACUAUGUGACAAGCGUGCACCACAUCCCCGUGGCCGGGCAGCACGUCGCCCCACAUGACGAACCAGCAGCAGACGGAGAGAUGCGAGCUGAUCCCUGCCGGGCCGCCGUCCUCGCGCGGGAGAAUCUCAUCGCCACAGUGUGAAUGGGUAAGAAGUGAAUACACAGUUCAAUGAGCCAAAUUUAUUUAUUUUCUCCACCAGACGCUCGAGGAAAUUUACGAGCCGGUCCAGCCGCUCGUUGAUCCCCGCGAUCCCCCUGAUGAUUUCUUCCUGCGAUUGCAGGACCCCCUCCGCGAGGACCCUUCCACUGCGUCCGGGUGGUCCAGCGGAAGCGCCGCGGCUGGUGGACGCUCCACCGCUUGUCGGCGCGCUGGUGCUGAUGCUGGUGCUGGGGCCGGGGGCCGGGGUGGCCCGAAUGCAGCUGGUCCUGGCCGACGACUCCGAGCCGGCGGACGGGCUACCGCGGGCCAGGGUUCCGCAAGCCGGCGACACGGCCGACACAUUGAAUUCUGUGACACAAUAAAAAUAUUUGUUCAUUUCAAUUCCUGCUUCUGUGUAUCUGUUGCGUUUACAUCUCUCUCCACGGUAUCAUAGGUAAUGUAAUCCAGUAUUUCGAGGUCAGUUAUGCACAUUACAGUUGUUUAUUGCAUAAAAAGUUAUCGAAAAAUGAAGUUAAGGGCGAAGUAUAAAUCACGUCUAAAAAUAGACUGAAUCCCGACGUUGAAAUGAAGUAUAAACUUAGACUAGACGUCUAAUAUACGUCUUUUGCUCAGUGGGAUGACAAAGCAUGUGGACAUUUGUGUGACACGCCACUUACCCUAUAAUAAUAAUCGCCACCCCCCGCUGCUCAAACGGUGUGAGGGUCUCCUCCCCCGGACCCCCACCUGUCUGGCCGGUACUCUUCCGGAGGGCAGCUGUACGCCGCUUGACCUCCACCUUGAGGUCCGACCACUUUUUUUUAAUCUCCGCGGGGGUGCGUGUCUCGAAACCCACCGCAUUCACCCUCUCGCAAACUUUCUCCCACUCCAAGCGUUUUUGUUUUGCACUGACGCCACUGGACAGGCUGCCAAACAAAACACGCUGUCGCUCCUCCACCUCCGCCACCAGCACCUCCACCUCGCACGCCGUAAAUGUAGUUUUUCUUGUCAUUUUGUCUGCGUGCGAGGACAGGGAGACCCUAUUUAAAUAAAUCUGCAUAUUUAUAGGAGGGCGUAACGGGGACGGGCCAGUCACUCCGACAUCUGCGCUCAAUUCCACGCUGAUUGGGAUUUAUCAAGGAAACACACGUGGAUUUCGGCGCCCGCACACAUUGAUACAUACGGAUUUCUUUCAGCGUGACGGACCUUGCGUGCGCUCGUUUCUGGUAUGAGUUCCACGCAAGUGUUGAUACAUGAGGCCCCAGGUGAGCCACAUGCUCGAGAUGUAGUCAGCUUCCUGUAACCCCGCACCCAUAGAUUUAGUAGGCUUAACACAUACAGUAGAUCUAACAAAGUAGCUAGUUCUGAACGAGACGCAUCACCCUCCUUGGACUAACUGCUGCUUCCACCUGGUCGUCUCAUCUCGUCGUCCCAAUGGCUCCUGGAGCUGCCAUCGAGACGAAGGGGGGAUUUGUAACGAGACAACUGCUUUCUGCUAUCCACAUUGAAUCCACCCCUCAAAGGAAUGCAGGCUCCCCUGGUUUGGACAGGAAAUGGGGGAGUAACGGUUUGCACACCAAGUUCCCAUUUACGACCCAGGAAACCAUUUGGGAGGUGAUAGUGAAUCUUUAACGCUUCCCAAAAGGACAAGUUGCUUAUCAACCACCCAGACCCAUAAACACGGCGUCUCUCACCCUGGCUGGGAAAGAUCAGAAUUGACAUUUCAGGAUUAACCCAAUGACCUAAAACGGAAAACAAACCAUUUGGCGCCAGGUCCGGAAAAACCAGAUACCUGCCAUAAAAUUCUUUGAGUGACUGUUUCUCUCCAUGGCUUUCUUUAAAGGAGCAGAAAGAAGAGGAUGCCUGAAAAUGGUUUAACUUCAUGUUUAAUGGACACUUAAUGGACAAUUUUCUGUCUGCACACCACAUUCUUAAUGAAAUGGUCUUUUUCCCAAUUUUGUAACAUAUCCACAAGCCAAACUGUUAACUUCACAAAUUUAUUCCAGGUUUUCCAUGGAUCAAGAGCUCCUCCUAGUGGUGAUGCCUGAAUAUGGUUUGAUCAGAGCCAAAUGGCAGGAAUCUAAUCAUGUGUAUUUCUUCCCUUUUGUUUUAUACACUUCGUAGCUUAGUAAAUGGUAUUCCCAAGAUAGGCUACUAGUAGUAACGUGAAACUCGUUUAGACUCAAGUUAAGAGGCCCAGAGAUCCGAAGUAUCUAACGGCGCUGACACGGUCCUGAAGCUGAGAUCCAGACACGGCGGAAGAACUCCCCGCCGAACCUUCAGUAUCCGGUCCGGUAGCCACAGAACUUCAGCUGAUCCAUUCCAAGAGUGCCGCUGAGAACCGACGUCCAAAGUAGGCAAAAUCCUCGAAACUGCUGUGAUGAGAACUGGGUGAUGCCGUCAACCGUUCAGUGGCUUACUCUCAUAAGUUAUAGUUUAGUUCUCCAAAUUCUUCUAAAUUUACCCUCGUAACUCCGUUAACGUAGGUUAAAUUUUCCCUUAUUCACUCACUAUCAUUAACCUCCAGUCUUAGGUUUAAUUUAAACCAUUCCUUCGUUUAUUCAUUAGAUGUGCUUUGAUUUUCUCAUUAUUUGAUCAUCAUUUAUUGAAGUUUUGUUAUCAUAUUACUUGUUAAUAAAUUGUUCAUUUAAUUUUAAGUUGUCGUCUUAGUGGUCUUUCAGAAAGUAGUCCAUGAAUGAAGAAUUCCGGCCUCAGAUGAGAGACUGAUUUAAAUCUGUUUAAGACUGAUCCAACGUUUAAUUACUCAAUUGAACUUUGUUUCGUCCUUUUCCCACCAGAAAGGUGGGUGGUGCCCCUUCAACGAGUGCAUAAAUGUCAUAAUUUAAUUUGAUUAAUUUUCGACAUUUAUUUUGAAUUUGAAAUCGCGACACCGACAUCUGGUCCGGCUCAAGGACUAGAAAGGCCUAUGGUGGUGGACGGCUCCUCUCUCUUCGCUGCAGGAAAAAAAGAUUCAAAAGAUCUUUUGUAUCCACAGCCAUCAGACUCUACAAUUUAAAUAGUAGAUGACUUUUUGAGACAUGACAAAUGAGACUAUAGACAAUUGAAUUUCCCUUAGGGGAUAAAUAAAGUUCUUCGUAUCUUAAAUUAAUUUUUGAUUAACUAUUAUGAACACUUUGGAUUUUUAGUCCUUAUUAAUUUGUUUGAAGGGUUAUCGAACAAGACAAUGGUCACUUCCAGCUUUUGACUCAACUUGACUUUUGAUAGAUGUAUAAUUGAGGACAGCCACUUGGUGGGUUGAGUAAAAGUACAUUAUGAUGCCAUUAGCUUUGGGUGGAUGUUGGUUUAUUUUAUUUUAUUUCUUUAAUAAAAAGGGAUUAAUGUUUGUUUCCAUUGUGUCUUACAGGUAUCCUGUCCAGUCUCCCCACUCUCCCCUAUCAUUUUGGCCACUCUGUCUUUCCUGUCUCCUCUACCGCUCUGUCUGCUUGAAAAGCAACUCUGUCUUUCUAUCCCUCUUCUAUCCCACUCUGACUCAUUGCAGAACCUUGCUGAACUUUUCAGAACUUUUCAGAACUUUGCAGAACUUUUCAGAACUUUGCACACCUUUGCUGAACCUUGCAGAACAUUUGAGAACCUAUUUUGAGAACCUAUUUUGAGAAACCUUUUGAAACAAGCAACCUUUCUUUGAGUCAAAACUUUUGAAACGGAAGUACAUUUAAUACAACCGCUAUUUUGAAAAGUCCCUAAUUUUGCACAAGUCUGAUUGUGUUUCUAGGUCCUCCUCUCCUGUCUGUGAAUCCAGAGUUUCGCCAGAAGACGUGUCGUCAGCUCCACCACAUUUGCAUACCUGACUUUGAAAGAACAUAAAAACACAUAUUUGAGUUGCAUAGUAUUUCAAGCACAAAGUUCUAAGAUUAAAAAAUUGUUGAUUUGCGUUUUUUCUUAAAACAUUUAUAUAGUCUUGCCUAGGAUUUCCUUAGAAAACAUUUUAUAAACUAUUGUUGGUAUACACACAGUUAUAAAUUAGAUUUUUUUGGAGACUAUAAGAGCUGUUAAAUAAAGUCCUCUUGAAGAAAUAAAGCAUUUUUGUCUAUACUGGUGCUUAUCAGUAACUUUUAAUUGUUGAAUAAACACGUUGUGAAAGGACAGCUACAAUGCCAAGGAAGAGUAAGAGGUCACAGGUUGCAAGCCAGCGCUGGCAGAGGUUUCAUGACAUUGACCGUGUGAGUACUGGACAAGCAGAUGGUGUUCCUCAGAGCAUUGGAGAGGUAAAGAGGUCUGAAGUGUCUGAUGCUGUGAAACAGGGAGGUGAAAAUGCGUCAUGUCAACCACAGGUAUCUUAUGCAGACGUGCUUAAGAGGAGACGUGUAAGUGAGUCACCUGCAGCAGGUCCUUCUAACUCUCAUCAGGUGAACUACAUAGCCCAAACUGAAAAGCCAUGCUCAACCCAGGUAUCACAUGCAGACACUGUUAAGAAGGGACACCACAGUAAUUAUCAGUCUGUAUCAGGCUCUUCUCAGGUAAGAAAUGAGAACGCAGUUAGUCAGUCAGGUGAACAAAGCGCCUGUGCAUCACGCAGCCAAGCGUCUCUGAAAUACAGCCAAUCCAGAAACCAGCAGUGCACCUGUAACUCACUGACAUUUCCAGCAUUCCUGUAUGAGAGCGAACACAUCACCAGAGCAGACCUGGACCGUGUUUUGGAUAAAGGUGAUGUGAUGUACAGAGAAGUCAGGAAAACUGUUCGUGAUCACAGCCAUCUGACAACCGAUGAGCUCCCUAAACAGGUUCCUGCACGCAGACACACGCAGAGUGUUGACAAGUCACAGCUGUCUAGAUACGGUACGUUUGGAGAUCCGGAUCCCAGAGCUGUUGAUACCUUUCUGGACCUCGAGAUGGGACUGAGCUGCUUAUUAUCAGAUGUGCAGUAUGCUUUGCUGCUAAUGACUUCACUGUGCAUUGCAGUUUUCAGAACCAGAGAUGGCAGGUACGGUUUCUUUGACCCACAUGCUAGGACAGCUAACGGUUUGCCUCUGCUUCAGGCCACACCUACUCCUGGUACUGCUGUCAUGGUAACAUUCACACGCCUCAGUGACAUGAUUGCCAGGCUCAUCAGAUAUCACCACAUAUUGGGCACAGCAGCGUCCUGUACCUAUGAGCUCAAGCCAGUUGUGUUCUGUGAUGUGAACCCAAGUGAUGCUAUCCCAACCACAGAAAGUCCGUCCACAAGUCCCUCUGUCACAACCACUGUGAUAAAUAAUGACACAAGUGCUCCACAGAUGAACACUGAUGUCCAUGAAAACGCUGAAUGGGGCAUGGAAACAGAACCAGAACCACUGAUCGACUUCAACCAGUGUUCUGUCACAUUAACUGGUCUUGAAUUUCUCACUCCAGAGAUUAACACUACUGUAAGUGAUGACACAUCACAGAAAGCCUCAACUUUGAUGGAAACUCAAGCUCAUCAACCAGGUCAAAUCAACAAUAAUUCUGUCACAUUAGAGGAAACUCAACAGACACAAUCAAAUUUGACACAACCAUUGAUAACGAUCCCCGUUGAUAGUGACAAAGUUAUCCAUGACAUCUCCACUAAACUGUCAAAAUUAAGCAAACAGCAAAAAAAGAAAUUUAAGAGGAGACUAAUGAGAUAUGGAAAGACAUCUCAAAAGAAAGAGAAUCAAAAAAGGAGAGAAAGAGAAAAGUAUGCUAAGAAUGAAACAUACAAAGCAAAGAAAAAGUCUUAUUCAAGUAACAAGUAUUCUGUAAAUCCUGAGUUACGGACAAUGAACAGACAGAAGAUCACAUCUAAACAUAGAGACAGCACAGACUUCAGACUGAAACAAAAACAUAUCACUAAAAAAUACAGAGAAAAUGUUGAUUUUAAAGGCAGACAAAAAGAAUAUAUCAGGAAAAAAUACCCGGAGGAUGUUAAUUUCAUGCAAAGACAGCGAUCAUAUAUCAAUCAUCGAUAUGCAAAUGAUGAAAUAUUCUGUCACCGACACAGACAGUUGAUGAGUCAAAUGAUGCGAGACAGGUACAAGAAAAAUCUUGCAUACAGGACUGUGCAUAAAAUGAGGUGUGCAUUGAAAAUAUCAAAGAAAUACAAACGGAUAAGUAAACAAACAUGGGAGACUGACAGAGAGAGUGAAAACCCACUAAUUGAAAGUGCCAUAAAUGAUUUCCGAUCACACAUUAAAGCUGGUCCCACCUAUGUUUGCACAGUUUGUCACAAAGCCUCAUUUCCAAACCAGGUGCAAAAGUGCAAGAGGUCCAAUUAUGUAAAAAAUCCAAUCAUGGUUUCAGCUUGUCUCAAAGGUCAGUACGUCCAUGAUUGUAAUGAUGACUGCAGAAAUCAGUGCACUGUCCCUGAUGAGAGGAAGACUGAGUGGAUUUGUCACACCUGCCAUGACCAUCUGAAAAAUGGAGCCAUGCCCAAACUUGCCAUAGCAAACAACUUGGAGCUUGCUGACAUACCACCUGAGCUGUGUGACCUCAACAUACUGGAGAGACAUCUGAUAGCAAAGUGCAUAACAUUUGCCAAAAUCAUUCCUCUUCCCAAAGGCAGACAGCGAGCUAUACAUGGUAAUGUUGUAUGUGUUCCCUCUGAAGUCCAGGAAACAAUUCAGGCUCUACCCAGAUUGAGAAAUGAAUCUCAGGUGAUGAGAGUAAAACUGAAGAGACGUUUGAGUUACAGAGGUCACCAUCUGUUUCAGACUGUUACCUGGUCCAAGCUAGUGCAGGCUCUGCAUAAACUGAAAGAGAUACACCCCCAGUAUGAAGACAUCACUAUUAGAGAUGAGGAGGAGUUAUGUGACCCCACACUUCCUGAUGAUGGUGAUGAGGAUGAGGAUGAUGAUGAUGAUGAUGAUGAUGGUGAUGAUGAUGGUAAUGAUAUUACAAUGAAUGAUGACGACUAUGAUGAUGAGGAUUUGAUGGAAAUUGAUAGAAUUGAGGCUGCUGCCAUGUAUGAGGCUGAAACUAACAUUAAAACUGAGGAUGAAAACACAGAGCUGUGUGAUAAAAGUCAGACCCAGGACAAUGAUGAUCAGACACAACAACAGGAUUCAGACGUGCAUAAUGGCAGUGUUGUUUUGGAGUCGUGCCUUCAGCCACGUGAUGUUUCUGAGGAGAUAUUGUGUUUCAGUGACUCUACAUACUCAGUAGCUCCAGCAGAGAGAAACAGUCCAGUCAGUUUUUUCAAAACACCCAAAUUAGAGGCCAUGGCGUUCCCUGUUCAGUUUCCCACUGGUGAGAAUACACUGGAUGAAAACAGACCCAUGAAAUUAUCACCUAGUAGAUAUUUUAAAGCAAGGCUCUUUGGUGUUGAUGAUCGCUUUGCCAGAGAUACCAACUACCUGUUCUUUGCACAGUUUGUGACCGAAAUACACUUGGCUACCUCCAGCAUGUCCAUACAGUUACGCAAAGGCAAACCUUUGACCAGAGAUGGACGUAAAAUAACAUCCAGAAUGUUGAGAGACAAAUACGAAGUGGAGAGAUUGGUGAGAAACAGAGAUGCUAUCAGAUUUAUGCAGCAGCUCAGAGGAACACCAGCCUACUGGGACAAAACUACGAAAGAUCUGUUUGCUAUGAUCAGACAGUUGGGCAGUCCUACUUUCUUUGUCACAUUUUCUGCAGCAGAAAUGCGUUGGCCUGAGGUGAUUAUUGCAAUAAAAUCACAACAAGGUGAGGAGGUGAAUUUUGAAGAGCUCGCCUGGUCCACAAAGUGUGACAUUCUCAGAAGCAAUCCUGUGACAACGAUGCACAUGUUUGAUAAGCGUGUUGAAGCACUGUACAGAGAUCUGAUCAUGUCUCCUGCACAACCCCUGGGCAAAGUUUUUGACUUCUUUUGGCGUCUCGAGUUUCAGCACAGGGGAAGUCCUCAUAUACAUGGUCUUUUGUGGGUAGAAGGUGCACCUGUGUUUGAGAGAGACUCUGAUAAAACUGUGUGUGACUUUGUGUCCAAACACAUCUCUGCUCAGCUCCCUGACCCAAAUAAACAGCCUGAACUGUACAAAAAGGUCAAAGAAGUGCAAAUACACAGUAAGAACCACUCAAAGACAUGCUUCAAAAGUGCAAGUUCUGGAUGCCGAUUUGGAUUCCCAAAACCACCCUCCAGACAGACAAUGAUAACAAGACCUGUGGGUGAUGAUGAGGAGUCAGAGAGACUUAAGAGAGCCAAAGAGAAACUUGCACCACUGAAUCAGCUGCUGAAUGAGACACAAACUGAAUCCAUGAGUUUUCAACAGCUCCUGUCUGUCUGUGACUUAACCGCUGAUGAGUAUGAGAAACACAUGAAUGUGAUGAGUCAGUCCAGCAACAUCAUUCUGAAGCGUGAGCCAAAAGACUGCUGGGUAAACACCUACAACCCUCACCUGCUCAAAGCUUGGGAUGCAAACAUUGAUGUGCAGUUCAUUCUCAGCUACUACAGUCUGAUCCAUUACAUAUGUACGUACAUGUGUAAAAGUGAGAACUCUGUGAGCCAGUACCUGCAAACACUCAUUCAGAACUCCGACAGAGAAUGUGUCAAUGAAUGUGAUGAAAUGAAAGCGGUCAUGCAGGCGUAUUCCAAAAAGCGAGAAGGAUCAGCACAAGAAGCUGUUGCCCGAGUGACUUCACUGAACAUGAAAAAGAGUUCACGCAGUGUGGUUUUUGUCCCAACUGAUGACAACCCAGUGAAAAUGAGUCUGCCUGUGUCAAGCCUUGAGAACACAACACCAGACAGCUUGAAUGUGUGGAUGACAUCCUUAACAGACAAGUACAAAUCCAGACCUGAAUCACCAGAGUUUGAAGAGAUGUGCAUGGCUGAUUUUGCGUCUACCUGCAGACUGGUGUAUGGACAACAGACCAAGGGCAAGAAAGUGGUACCUUUGCUGAAUGAACUAGGCUUUAUACAGAGACGAGAAAAAGACAACGUUGCUGUCAUCAGGUAUCGCCGCAUAUCCAAAGAGAAAUACCCUGAGCAGUUUUACGGCACAUUGCUUAGACUGCAUCUUCCAUACAGAUCAGAUGAUGAGCUGAAAAGACCACAUCUACCCACGUAUGAGUCAUUCUAUGAGAGAGGUGUGGUUCAGCUGCUGUAUUCUGACCGACCCCUGAGUGUGAAACUCAUCGUGAAAAGAAACAGAGAGAGAUAUGAAAAAAACAGAGAGGAAAUUGACUCUGCUCUCGAGGACUUUGAACAGAACAGAGGUGUGGUCGAUGAAUGGUGUAAUUUGACACCUGAAUCUGAACUGGUGAGGUUGGAGUGUAUCGAUGAACUGGAUGCCAGACAGUGUGAAAAUGUCCAAGAGGAUGUACCUGAUUACAGUAGACAAGCAAAUGUUGCUACAGAAGCCAGAGUCAUGAGAGAGCCCCCUACAAUCGAUCCCACACGGUUACGACAAAUGUAUCAGAGUCUGAACCAGAAACAGGCGUGUGUGUUCUAUGCAGUAAGAGACUGGUGCAUAAAACGAGUCUGUGGACCACAACCACAGCAGUUUUUCUACUACAUCAAUGGUGGUGCUGGCACUGGAAAGUCACAUCUCAUUAAAUGCAUUCAUUCAGAAGCAUCAAAGAUUCUGAGAACACUACCUAGACGUGCUGAGGAAGCUGACAUCUCAAACCCGACUGUGCUGUUGACUGCUUUCACUGGAACUGCAGCCUUUAACAUCUCUGGAACAACACUGCACUCUCUUCUCAAGCUGCCCAGAAGUUUGAAACCUCCUUUUCAAGGUCUUGGGAACCAACUUGAUGAAAUCAGGUGUGAGCUUUUAAAUGUUGAAAUCAUCAUCGUUGAUGAAAUCUCCAUGGUGUCGAAGCCUCUGUUUGCCUAUGUGGAUGUGAGACUGAAACAGAUUAAAGGCAGCCACAGACCCUUUGGAGGAAUGUCAGUCAUUGCUGUGGGAAACUUUUACCAGCUACCGCCUGUGCGACAGUCCAAACCACUCUGUGUCUAUGAUCCAAGUGAACUUGACCUCUGGAGAGACAACUUCCAGGUGAUCACUUUAGAUGAGAUCAUGCGACAGAAGGAUGACAAAACUUUUGCCGAGAUGCUGAACAGACUCCUUGUGAAAACAAGGUCAGAUGAGAUUUCUGAAGCUGACAGAGCUCUGCUGUCACAGCGUGUCACUGAACCACAACUGUGUCCCUCUGAUGUCCUGCACAUUUUUGCAACCAACAAACAAGUCGCCGCACACAACUCUGCUACACUAUCUCUGCUCCAUUCUGAUAUCACCACCAUUGAUGCAGAUGACUUUAAAAAGGACCCACACACUGGACACAUGAAAAGACAAGGUGCACCAUGUCAUGGAAGCAGAAAUGAUCUACCUGACACCCUAGAUGUUGCAGUAGGUGCUAGAGUCAUGCUUACCAGAAACAUUGAUGUGUCUCAAGGAUUGGUGAACGGAUCAUUUGCUACAGUAGGUCGUCUCAUAAGCUCUGAAAACAACGGUUCUGCUCUUGUCACUAUGCUUGGUCUCAGGAUGGAUGAUGAAACAGCUGGCAGGAGCUAUCGUACUCGAGGAGACAAUCUUGUGUACAUCGAGAGAUCUAAGGAGGCUCUGCAACAGAAAGGAGUGGUACGCAGACAGUUUCCUGUGAAACUUGCCUUUGCAUGCACGAUACACAAGGUUCAAGGUAUGACCAGAAAAUCUGCUGUUGUCUCUCUGAAGCACAUUUUUGAGCCCGGCAUGGCCUACGUAGCUAUCAGUCGGGUGACCUCUCUCAGCGGACUGCACAUGCUUGAUUUGGAUGAGAGUAAAAUCCAUGCUAACCCUGCAGUCACUGUAUCUUUGGAGACCAUGACACAAGCUAACUUUGAUCACCUCAUGCCUUUUCUCCAGAUCCAGCAUUCUCUCAGCAGACAGGACACUGUGAGCAUCAUUCAUCACAACACCGAAGGAUUACCUGCUCAUGUGAAUGACAUCAAAAGCCAUCAUGAACUGUAUCUUGCAGAUGUUUUGUGUCUGACAGAAACUCACCUACAGGGCUCCUUUGAGGCAGACAGUCUCCAGUUUGAGGGCUACACCAUGUUCAAACGCAACAGACAUUUGUCCUACACUAACUUUCCACAGAUGACCAGUAAAGGAGGUGGUGGAGUUGCUGUUUAUGUGAAAAACCAUUUGCAGGUUGUGGAGAAACAGUACCUGAAUACAGUGGCGGUUCUAGACCAAAUUACUCCCCGGGCGAGCACCUCUCCAAGUGCCCCCCCCCCCCCCCCCCCACACACACACACACACACACACACACACAAACACAAAAAGAGAUAGAAUUUUGAACAGAUAGUUUUGUAUUACUAUGUAGUAUUAUUAUUAUUAUAACAACAAAAAUAAUAUAUUUCUCAAUUGCAGAAAUCCUUCAAUAGAAAAAAACACAAUCCUGAGGGCCAUUUUGAGAAGGGCCCCCAGAUCCUGAGGUUUUCUGAAGUGUUAAGGUUUACAAAAAAGCUGCUAUCUCGGCCUCUGUAGUAGAUAGAAACAAAAUUCAAAAAGUAUUUGAGAGCUUAAACACGUGGCUUUCAAGAAAGCUCUCCUUUAGUUUUGCAAACCUUCAUCACAUUUUGAAAACCUUGAACAAACAAACUCAAAUGAAAUAAAGCGGCUGUAUAAAUAAAAGUAGAGGCUCUGCACUGGAGAAUGACAAAUAAUUUGCUUUCUGUAAAACAAGUGGCAGUCAUGACAAAGUGUCCAUUCAAUACAAAUGUAAAUAUAGAAAAUAAGGUGUUGAAAGGGUAUACAGCUGCCCCAGUAUAGUGCCAGUACAAAAGCAGAACUAAAAACUAAAAAAUGAAUAAAUAAAUACGUGGCUGACAGUGUGUUCAUCUCUGUUCUCACCCAAAGUCAUGCAACACUCAGAGAAAACGCUGAUAGUGUGAGCCACAGCACUCCAUAUGAAGAGGUUGUUCACACUGCUGGAUGUUUCUCCUCUGAAG
rnacentral:lncRNA from 1 species